AUUGAACGCUGGCGGCAUGCCUUACACAUGCAAGUCGAACGGUAACGCGGGGCAACCUGGCGACGAGUGGCGAACGGGUGAGUAAUACAUCGGAACGUGCCCAGUAGUGGGGGAUAGCCCGGCGAAAGCCGGAUUAAUACCGCAUACGACCUACGGGUGAAAGCGGGGGAUCGCAAGACCUCGCGCUAUUGGAGCGGCCGAUGUCAGAUUAGCUAGUUGGUGGGGUAAAAGCCUACCAAGGCGACGAUCUGUAGCUGGUCUGAGAGGACGACCAGCCACACUGGGACUGAGACACGGCCCAGACUCCUACGGGAGGCAGCAGUGGGGAAUUUUGGACAAUGGGGGCAACCCUGAUCCAGCCAUGCCGCGUGCGGGAAGAAGGGCCCUUCGGGUUGGUU
rnacentral:rRNA from 1 species